CUACGUGCCAGCAGCCGCGGUAAUACGUAGGUCCCGAGCGUUGUCCGGAUUUAUUGGGCGUAAAGCGAGCGCAGGCGGUUAGAUAAGUCUGAAGUUAAAGGCUGUGGCUUAACCAUAGUACGCUUUGGAAACUGUUUAACUUGAGUGCAAGAGGGGAGAGUGGAAUUCCAUGUGUAGCGGUGAAAUGCGUAGAUAUAUGGAGGAACACCGGUGGCGAAGGCAGCCUCCUGGGAUAACACUGACGUUCAUGCUCGAAAGCGUGGGUAGCAAACAGGAUUAGAUACCCUGGUAGUCCACGCCCUAAACGAUGUCAAUUAGCUGUUGGGCAACUUGAUUGCUUAGUAGCGUAGCUAACGCGUGAAAUUGACCGCCUGGGGAGUACGGUCGCAAGAUUAAAACUCAAAGGAAUUGACGGGGACCCGCACAAGCGGUGGAUGAUGUGGAUUAAUUCGAUGCAACGCGAAGAACCUUACCUGGUCUUGACAU
rnacentral:rRNA from 1 species